AGUGAACGCUGGCGGUAGGCCUAACACAUGCAAGUCGAACGGCAGCACAGUAAGAGCUUGCUCUUACGGGUGGCGAGUGGCGGACGGGUGAGGAAUACAUCGGAAUCUACUUUUUCGUGGGGGAUAAUGUAGGGAAACUUACGCUAAUACCGCAUACGACCUACGGGUGAAAGCAGGGGAUCUUCGGACCUUGCGCGAUUGAAUGAGCCGAUGUCGGAUUAGCUAGUUGGCGGGGUAAAGGCCCACCAAGGCGACGAUCCGUAGCUGGUCUGAGAGGAUGAUCAGCCACACUGGAACUGAGACACGGUCCAGACUCCUACGGGAGGCGGCAGUGGGGAAUAUUGGACAAUGGGCGCAAGCCUGAUCCAGCAAUACCGCGUGGGUGAAGAAGGCCUUCGGGUUGUAAAGCCCUUUUGUUGGGAAAGAAAAGCAGCAGGUUAAUACCCCGCUGUUCUGACGGUACCCAAAGAAUAAGCACCGGCUAACUUCGUG
rnacentral:rRNA from 1 species